AUGAGCGCGGCGGACAAGGUGAAGCCGGCGGCCAGCCCGGCGGCGCAGGAGCCCUCCGCCAUCGCCGGCAACAUCUCCUAUCAUGCACAGUACAGCCCCCACUUUUCGCCGCUCGCCUUCGGCCCCGAGCAGGCCUUCUACGCCACCGCCGAGAGCGUCCGCGACCACCUCCUCCAGAGAUGGAACGACACGUACCUGCAUUUCCACAAGACGGAUCCCAAGCAGACCUACUACUUGUCCAUGGAGUACCUGCAGGGCCGCGCGCUCACCAACGCCGUCGGAAACCUCGGCAUCACCGGCGCCUACGCUGACGCCCUGAAGAAGUUCGGCUACGAGCUCGAGGCCAUCGCCGGACAGGAGAGAGAUGCGGCUCUGGGAAAUGGUGGCCUUGGCAGGCUUGCAUCUUGCUUUUUGGAUUCAAUGGCUACACUGAACUUGCCUUCUUGGGGCUAUGGCCUUCGUUACCGAUAUGGCCUGUUCAAGCAGCGCAUUGCCCAGGAGGGCCAAGAAGAAAUCGCUGAAGAUUGGCUUGAUAAGUUUAGCCCAUGGGAGAUUGUCAGGCAUGACGUUGUAUACCCAAUCAGAUUUUUCGGCCAUGUCGAGAUUUCGCCAGAUGGAAAGCGGAAAUGGGCCGGAGGAGAAGUUCUGAGUGCUUUAGCCUAUGAUGUGCCAAUUCCUGGGUACAAGACAAAAAAUGCAAUCAGUCUUCGCCUUUGGGAUGCAAAAGCAACUGCUGAGGAUUUCAACUUAUUUCAGUUCAAUGAUGGCCAGUAUGAGUCAGCUGCUCAACUUCACUCGAGGGCACAACAGAUAUGUGCUGUUCUCUAUCCUGGUGAUGCUACAGAAGAAGGAAAGCUUCUGAGAUUAAAGCAGCAGUAUUUCCUUUGCAGCGCAUCACUUCAGGAUAUUAUUUUCAGAUUCAAGGAAAGAAAAUCUGACAGAGUUUCAGGGAAGUGGAGUGAGUUCCCCUCCAAAGUUGCUGUUCAAAUGAAUGACACUCACCCCACUCUUGCCAUCCCUGAGCUAAUGAGGUUGCUUAUGGACGUGGAGGGACUUGGUUGGGAUGAAGCGUGGGAUGUCACAAAUAAGACGGUUGCUUACACCAAUCAUACAGUUCUUCCUGAAGCUCUUGAGAAAUGGUCACAGGCUGUAAUGAGGAAAUUGCUUCCACGUCACAUGGAAAUUAUUGAGGAAAUUGACAAGCGGUUUAGAGAAAUGGUAAUCUCCACCCGCAAGGAUAUGGAGGGAAAGAUCGAAUCGAUGAGGGUUUUAGAUAACAAUCCCGAGAAGCCAGUAGUGCGGAUGGCGAAUUUGUGUGUUGUGGCUGGGCAUACGGUGAAUGGAGUGGCCGAGUUGCACAGCAACAUCUUGAAAGAAGAGCUGUUUGCAGAUUAUCUCUCUAUUUGGCCUAAGAAAUUCCAGAACAAAACUAAUGGAAUUACACCCCGCAGAUGGCUCCGUUUUUGCAACCCUGAGUUGAGUGAAAUAGUCACUAAAUGGCUAAAAACAGAUCAGUGGACAAGCAACCUUGAUCUUCUCACCGGGCUUCGGAAAUUCGCAGAUGAUGAAAAACUACAUGCUGAGUGGGCAGCAGCCAAGCUGGCCAGCAAAAAGCGCCUAGCCAAGCAUGUAUUGGAUGUGACUGGUGUUACAAUUGACCCAAAUAGCCUUUUCGAUAUACAAAUUAAACGCAUCCACGAAUACAAGAGACAGCUGAUGAACAUUUUGGGAGCUGUGUACAGAUACAAGAAGUUAAAGGAAAUGAGCGCAGCAGACAGGCAGAAGGUUACACCGCGCACUGUCAUGGUAGGAGGGAAAGCAUUUGCAACAUACACCAACGCCAAAAGAAUAGUGAAAUUGGUAAAUGAUGUUGGUGCUGUGGUGAACAACGAUGCUGACGUCAACAAAUAUCUGAAGGUGGUGUUCAUUCCAAACUACAAUGUAUCAGUCGCUGAAGUGCUCAUUCCUGGCAGUGAACUGUCACAGCACAUCAGUACUGCAGGCAUGGAAGCAAGUGGAACAAGUAACAUGAAGUUCUCUCUGAAUGGCUGUGUUAUCAUUGGAACUCUCGACGGAGCCAAUGUUGAAAUUAGAGAAGAAGUGGGGCAAGACAACUUCUUCCUUUUCGGUGCCAAAGCGGAUCAGGUUGCUGGUCUGAGGAAGGAUAGAGAAAAUGGCUUGUUCAAACCAGACCCACGCUUUGAAGAAGCCAAGCAGUUUAUCAGGAGUGGUGCCUUCGGCACUUACGACUACACUCCUCUCCUUGAUUCCCUUGAAGGGAACACUGGAUUUGGGCGUGGCGAUUACUUCCUUGUUGGCUAUGACUUCCCAAGCUACAUUGAUGCACAGGCCCGGGUUGAUGAAGCCUACAAGGACAAGAAGAAAUGGAUCAAGAUGUCUAUCUUGAACACGGCUGGAAGCGGCAAAUUCAGCAGUGACCGCACCAUCGACCAGUACGCAAAGGAGAUCUGGGGCAUUUCGGCUUGCCCUGUUCCAUGA
rnacentral:rRNA from 1 species